rnacentral:rRNA from 1 species
UAAGCGACUAAGCGUACACGGUGGAUGCCCUGGCAGUCAGAGGCGAUGAAGGACGUGCUAAUCUGCGAUAAGCGUCGGUAAGGUGAUAUGAACCGUUAUAACCGGCGAUUUCCGAAUGGGGAAACCCAGUGUGUUUCGACACACUAUCAUUAACUGAAUCCAUAGGUUAAUGAGGCGAACCGGGGGAACUGAAACAUCUAAGUACCCCGAGGAAAAGAAAUCAACCGAGAUUCCCCCAGUAGCGGCGAGCGAACGGGGAGCAGCCCAGAGCCUGAAUCAGUGUGUGUGUUAGUGGAAGCGUCUGGAAAGGCGCGCGAUACAGGGUGACAGCCCCGUACACAAAAAUGCACAUGCUGUGAGCUCGAUGAGUAGGGCGGGACACGUGGUAUCCUGUCUGAAUAUGGGGGGACCAUCCUCCAAGGCUAAAUACUCCUGACUGACCGAUAGUGAACCAGUACCGUGAGGGAAAGGCGAAAAGAACCCCGGCGAGGGGAGUGAAAAGGAACCUGAAACCGUGUACGUACAAGCAGUGGGAGCACGCUUAGGCGUGUGACUGCGUACCUUUUGUAUAAUGGGUCAGCGACUUAUAUUCUGUAGCAAGGUUAACCGAAUAGGGGAGCCGAAGGGAAACCGAGUCUUAACUGGGCGUUAAGUUGCAGGGUAUAGACCCGAAACCCGGUGAUCUAGCCAUGGGCAGGUUGAAGGUUGGGUAACACUAACUGGAGGACCGAACCGACUAAUGUUGAAAAAUUAGCGGAUGACUUGUGGCUGGGGGUGAAAGGCCAAUCAAACCGGGAGAUAGCUGGUUCUCCCCGAAAGCUAUUUAGGUAGCGCCUCGUGAAUUCAUCUCCGGGGGUAGAGCACUGUUUCGGCAAGGGGGUCAUCCCGACUUACCAACCCGAUGCAAACUACGAAUACCGGAGAAUGUUAUCACGGGAGACACACGGCGGGUGCUAACGUCCGUCGUGAAGAGGGAAACAACCCAGACCGCCAGCUAAGGUCCCAAAGUCAUGGUUAAGUGGGAAACGAUGUGGGAAGGCCCAGACAGCCAGGAUGUUGGCUUAGAAGCAGCCAUCAUUUAAAGAAAGCGUAAUAGCUCACUGGUCGAGUCGGCCUGCGCGGAAGAUGUAACGGGGCUAAACCAUGCACCGAAGCUGCGGCAGCGACGCUGAUGCGUUGUUGGGUAGGGGAGCGUUCUGUAAGCCUGCGAAGGUGUGCUGUGAGGCAUGCUGGAGGUAUCAGAAGUGCGAAUGCUGACAUAAGUAACGAUAAAGCGGGUGAAAAGCCCGCUCGCCGGAAGACCAAGGGUUCCUGUCCAACGUUAAUCGGGGCAGGGUGAGUCGACCCCUAAGGCGAGGCCGAAAGGCGUAGUCGAUGGGAAACAGGUUAAUAUUCCUGUACUUGGUGUUACUGCGAAGGGGGGACGGAGAAGGCUAUGUUGGCCGGGCGACGGUUGUCCCGGUUUAAGCGUGUAGGCUGGUUUUCCAGGCAAAUCCGGAAAAUCAAGGCUGAGGCGUGAUGACGAGGCACUACGGUGCUGAAGCAACAAAUGCCCUGCUUCCAGGAAAAGCCUCUAAGCAUCAGGUAACAUCAAAUCGUACCCCAAACCGACACAGGUGGUCAGGUAGAGAAUACCAAGGCGCUUGAGAGAACUCGGGUGAAGGAACUAGGCAAAAUGGUGCCGUAACUUCGGGAGAAGGCACGCUGAUACGUAGGUGAAGUCCCUCGCGGAUGGAGCUGAAAUCAGUCGAAGAUACCAGCUGGCUGCAACUGUUUAUUAAAAACACAGCACUGUGCAAACACGAAAGUGGACGUAUACGGUGUGACGCCUGCCCGGUGCCGGAAGGUUAAUUGAUGGGGUCAGCGCAAGCGAAGCUCUUGAUCGAAGCCCCGGUAAACGGCGGCCGUAACUAUAACGGUCCUAAGGUAGCGAAAUUCCUUGUCGGGUAAGUUCCGACCUGCACGAAUGGCGUAAUGAUGGCCAGGCUGUCUCCACCCGAGACUCAGUGAAAUUGAACUCGCUGUGAAGAUGCAGUGUACCCGCGGCAAGACGGAAAGACCCCGUGAACCUUUACUAUAGCUUGACACUGAACAUUGAGCCUUGAUGUGUAGGAUAGGUGGGAGGCUUUGAAGUGUGGACGCCAGUCUGCAUGGAGCCGACCUUGAAAUACCACCCUUUAAUGUUUGAUGUUCUAACGUUGACCCGUAAUCCGGGUUGCGGACAGUGUCUGGUGGGUAGUUUGACUGGGGCGGUCUCCUCCUAAAGAGUAACGGAGGAGCACGAAGGUUGGCUAAUCCUGGUCGGACAUCAGGAGGUUAGUGCAAUGGCAUAAGCCAGCUUGACUGCGAGCGUGACGGCGCGAGCAGGUGCGAAAGCAGGUCAUAGUGAUCCGGUGGUUCUGAAUGGAAGGGCCAUCGCUCAACGGAUAAAAGGUACUCCGGGGAUAACAGGCUGAUACCGCCCAAGAGUUCAUAUCGACGGCGGUGUUUGGCACCUCGAUGUCGGCUCAUCACAUCCUGGGGCUGAAGUAGGUCCCAAGGGUAUGGCUGUUCGCCAUUUAAAGUGGUACGCGAGCUGGGUUUAGAACGUCGUGAGACAGUUCGGUCCCUAUCUGCCGUGGGCGCUGGAGAAUUGAGGGGGGCUGCUCCUAGUACGAGAGGACCGGAGUGGACGCAUCACUGGUGUUCGGGUUGUCAUGCCAAUGGCACUGCCCGGUAGCUAAAUGCGGAAGAGAUAAGUGCUGAAAGCAUCUAAGCACGAAACUUGCCCCGAGAUGAGUUCUCCCUGACUCCUUGAGAGUCCUGAAGGAACGUUGAAGACGACGACGUUGAUAGGCCGGGUGUGUAAGCGCAGCGAUGCGUUGAGCUAACCGGUACUAAUGAACCGUGAGGCUUAACCU